GAGCUUAAAGGCAACAGAUGUCCUGACAACACCACAUGUAACAAGGGCCUGUGUCAGUGUUCUAAGGGAGCCACACAGUCAUCUAAAGGACAAUGUUUAGGUAAACCAUCAAAAGUCCAUGUCACCACAGAGGGAGACAGUCCAACCCAAAGUAAGUCCGCACGAAGUACAAGACCGACUUCUACGAUCCUAGCUGCGAACGAAGCUAACACACUACAAGGCGAUGAUUCCCAAACACUAACUAUAGGACUGGUUGCUGGAAUCGGAGGGGUGGUCCUAGUGGCUGUCAUAGUCUUGGUUGUUGUAGUCCUUGCUCGGAGAAAAAAGAAUAAAACAGCCAAUGACAACAAAUUGGCUAGGUUAAGGAGGACAGCCAAGUCCUGCCCAUGCAUCCAGCGCUCCUAGCCAUCACACCUACCAGAGCGUCGUUGACCCGCCAUUACCUGUCAGUGUGGGAUGGA